GGAAGGAUCAUUAACACGUAUCCAACGUUAAACCCCCGUGCAUUUUAACCCUGCUCUCUUCGCCUUGACAAAGCAAUCUCUGGUAAAUCACGCCAAAACAGUUUUGAUUCAGAGACUUCUUCGAGACGCGUGGAUGAGCGGUAGAGCAAUUAGACUUGGUUUCCGAAAGGAUAACUGAUAUUUACUCAGAUCGUUGACCCUCACGGUCAGCGGACAGGUCUCUGGGCUUACGCCCCAUAUUAACCCCAAUGUAGGUGAAAGUAGUGCUGCGUAAAGUAGGCACACAAAAACGAACAACUGUUAACAAUGGAUAUCUUGGUUCUCGCAACGAUGAAGAACGCAGCGAAAUGCGAUACGUAAUGCGAAUUGCAGAAUUCAGUGAAUCAUCGAAUCUUUGAACGCAAAUUGCGGCUCCCGGGUUACCCCCGAGAGCACACCUCUCUGAGUGUCGGUUUAACCAAAUGUCACCAAUUUAUUGGUGUACGACAGACUGAGGGUAAGGAGUCUCGCUUCUUUCCCUUUAAAUCUCAGCGCACGACUGUGUGUGUUCGUGGCAAGUUGCUUUCACUUAACUGUGAAUCCAAUCCAUGAACCCUAUGUUACUGCAGCCAAAGAAACAAAUGAACAGAGUUGUGAACUUGAGAGCAUGUGAGGUAGUAAUUAAGUUUCGGCUUGGUUGUUACUGAUCAUGUUUUCGGGGGAACGUCUCUGGACAUCUAUGAAUUAGACCUCAGAUGAAGUGGGAAGACCCCCUGAAUUUAAGCAUAUUAUUAAGGGGAGGAAAGAAACUAACAAGGAUUCCCCCUAGUAACGGCGAGUGAAGCGGGAAGAGCUCAAAUUUAAAAUCCGCUAGUCUAACAGCCAGCGGAGUUGUAAUCUAGAGAGGCUCUCUCAGUGCCAGCCUGGUUAUAAGUCCCUUGAAACGGGGCAUCAUAGAGGGUGAGAAUCCCGUCUUUGAGCCGGAGCUAAGUACGUACGAGGAGUUUUCUAAGAGUCGCGUUGCUUGGGAGUGCAGCGCUAAAUGGGUGGUAAAGUUCAUCUAAAGCUAAAUACUGGCGAGAGACCGAUAGCGAACAAGUACCGUGAGGGAAAGAUGAAAAGAACUUUGAAAAGAGAGUUAAAAAGUACUUGAAAUUGUUAACAGGGAAGGGCAGGAAACCAGUCAUUUCUUGGCUCCAUUCGCUUUUCCUUCGGGAGGGGUUACUUGGGGUUGAGAAGAGUGAGUAGCAUGUAUGCGUCCUACGCUGGUCCUGCAUGAGGAGUGAUAACCCGCCCCGAAAGGGACGGUACUCUAGAGCCUGUUUGCCCUAGCGCGUGAGAGAACAAAGUUCUGUCUGUGCGAAAGGUGAAUACUGCUUUGGAUGUGCCAGUUGCUGGGUUCGCGCUACACACGAAAUGGUUUCUUCCACCCGUCUUGAAACACGGACCAAGGAGUCUAACAUAUAUGCGAGUAUUUGGGUGACAAACCCUGAUGCGUAAUGAAAGUAAAGAGCCGCAAGGCUUGAGGUAGGAAUCUCGCCCUCGGGUGGGAGGCACUAUCGACCGAUCGUUCACUUGCGGAAGAUUUGAGUAAUAGCAUAUCUGUUGGGACCCGAAAGAUGGUGAUCUAUGACUGAACAGGGUGGCCAGGGGAAACUCUGGUGGAAGCUCGUAGCGAUACUGACGUGCAAAUCGUUCGUCUGAUUUGGGUAUAGGGGCGAAAGACUAAUCGAACCAUCUAGUAGCUGGUUCCCUC
rnacentral:misc_RNA from 1 species